ACCGUACUCCUACGGGAGGCAGCAGUGGGGAAUUUUGGACAAUGGGGGCAACCCUGAUCCAGCAAUGCCGCGUGAGUGAAGAAGGCCUUCGGGUUGUAAAGCUCUUUUGUCAGGGAAGAAACGGUAGUAGCUAAUAUCUAUUACUAAUGACGGUACCUGAAGAAUAAGCACCGGCUAACUACGUGCCAGCAGCCGCGGUAAUACGUAGGGUGCAAGCGUUAAUCGGAAUUACUGGGCGUAAAGCGUGCGCAGGCGGUUGUGUAAGUCAGAUGUGAAAUCCCCGGGCUCAACCUGGGUAUUGCAUUUGAGACUGCACGGCUAGAGUGUGUCAGAGGGGGGUAGAAUUCCACGGGUAGCGGUGAAAUGCGUAGAUAUGUGGAGGAAUACCGAUGGCGAAGGCAGUCCCCUGGGUUAACACUGGCGCUCAUGCACGAAAGCGUGGGGAGCAAACAGGAUUAGAUACCCUUGUAGUCCUUGAC
rnacentral:rRNA from 1 species